rnacentral:lncRNA from 1 species
AGUAGCUGCAGGGAGGAAGAAUCGAGAUGGCUUCAGCAAAGCCCUCCACUUUGCUUGGGAGAAGGGGGCGUUUGUGGGCAGGGCAUUGCAUGGGAAACUGCAAUGUGCACUUGUUUGACCUGGAUCCCUGGUUCAAAUGCAUCCCCUGGUCCCUGCAGGUCCGGGGUGGGGCUGGAGCUUUUGUGUGUCUCAUCAGCUCCCAGAAACAUUUAUCGAGUGCCUAUGGCAUGUCAGGCACAGUUCAAGUUCUGAGGAUACAGAGUAAACAACAGGCAACAUCACGCCUCCUCGAGCUUCUGUUCUACUGGGAGUCAGGGUAGGAAGAGACGACAACAAGGUAAAUAAGUCAAAUCCGGACUGUGUUACUGACAAUGCAAGCUAGGAGAAAAAAGGAAGCAGGAGCAGAGAGGAGCCUGGGUGAUGAUGGAGAUGGGGAGUUUACUUAAAUAGGUGGCCAUGAGGCUAUCCAGCCUGUCCCAGGCGGACUUUUAGAAGACGGAUUGUUUAUAAGAGCCCAAAAGUAUAAGUUCUUAAAAAAAAUUAAUUUCUGAAUGUGUGAUGAGAACACAAAUUCCUCCACGACAGCCCUGUUUUUCCUGUGCUGCGUAGCUGAGCUCUGGGUCACGGCUGCCGAGUGCAGGCAACACUCGGGCAGUCCCAGGGCUGACCGACUGCGCAUCUGGACACUGGCAAUCACAGGGAAGGAGGCGAGAGCUCUGCCGGGUGCUUUGAGGCUGUCGCGUCAUGUCUUCCUCCCCACAGCGUUCUGCGGGGC